rnacentral:tmRNA from 1 species
GGGACUGAAAGGAUUUCUACAUUUUAACACAUUAAUUAUUGCCUACUUAAUUAAUUAUAUAUCUAAAAUUUCAUAUUUGUUGAAGCUGUAGUAUUUACAAUAUAAAAAACGUUAAAAUUUAUUUGCAAAACAUAAUAUUAUAUCUUUUUCUAAUAAUUUAGUACAAGUGUAAAUUAUUAAUAGCUUAAGCUGUAUUCUUUUAAUUCAGUUUAUUAAUUUAUAUAAGGAAUGCUCUAAUUUUGGAAUAAAAUUUUAGUCGUUUAACUAACUUUAUUUUUAAUUAGUAAAGUAAGUAUUUUUAAUUUGAAUUGGUAUGCUGUAAUUAAAUAUAAGUAUUGUAAUUAUUGUUUUAAUAUGGACGUGGGUUCGAAUCCCACCAGUUCCA